UAUAAGUGCAGUUGUAGGUUUCCGUAUCCAACAUUUGACCUCCGUUUUAUUUGAAAAAAUAUUUAUGAUUAGUAUUUUUGUUGCUAUUAGAUAAAACAUGAAUUUAUAUGUGACUAUUUUUUUUAAUUUUUUCAUAUUUUUUUUAAAUAAGACGAACAGUCAAACAUUGUAUACAGAAACCCACAACUGUACUUAUA
rfam:Oryza glumipatula chromosome 7, whole genome shotgun sequence.